ACCAGAUGCGUCUGAUGACAGAAGUCAAGAAUCUGAGGGCACUCUUGUCCUCCACAACAUCAUUGCACCAGGUUAGGAUACCGGAUGACUGCCCAUCACUUCCUGCAACGACAGCUGAGGAGGUCAUCCAGCUAGACACCUACAUAUUACAAGAGGGAAAUUUUGAAAAGAUGGUCGCCUACUUCACAAAAUUCGGGGGAACUGAUAUCCAAGACAAUGUCCGUACCAUACUACGACACCUGAUGACAAAGAGCGCAGCCCUUGCAUUCAGGUGGAAGGGAUCCCGUGGACUCAAAGAGCCCUUUGAGAAGCUGGAAAGUGUGAUCAAGAUGAUAAUGAGUAUGAACAUUUAGAUUGCAUAUUUGUUAUGGGUCGAAGGGCUGUCUCAAAACUCACUACCGAACAGCGACGCUAAGAGAUGUGACUGCUGUGAUAAAGAAGUGGCUGGUUGGCGCCCAAGACAGGGAAGGUGGUAGAAAUCAGCGACGAACGUUCAAAGG